rnacentral:rRNA from 1 species
AGAGUUUGAUCAUGGCUCAGAACGAACGCUGGCGGCGUGGAUAAGACAUGCAAGUCGGACGAGAUUUCGUCCUGUAGCAAUACGGGAAGAAGUCUAGUGGCGAACGGGUGCUUAACACGUGGGCAAUUUGUCUUAAAGUGGGGGAUAGCUCGGCGAAAGCCGAAUUAGUACCGCAUGUGAUUAGAGUGGACAUCCAUUCAAAAUUAAAGUCGGGGCAACCUGACGCUUUUUGAGGAGCCCGCGGCCUAUCAGCUAGUUGGUGAGGUAACGGCUCACCAAGGCUUUGACGGGUAGCUGGUCUGAGAGGACGACCAGCCACACUGGGACUGAGACACGGCCCAGACACCUACGGGUGGCAGCAGUCGAGAAUUUUUCUCAAUGGGGGAAACCCUGAAGGAGCGACGCCGCGUGGAGGAUGAAGGUCUUCGGAUUGUAAACUCCUGUCAUUGGGGAACAAUGCGUGACGGUUAACUGCCGUCGCGUUGAUAGUACCCGAAGAGGAAGAGACGGCUAACUCUGUGCCAGCAGCCGCGGUAAUACAGAGGUCUCAAGCGUUGUUCGGAUUCAUUGGGCGUAAAGGGUGCGUAGGCGGCGCGGUAAGUCGGGUGUGAAAUCUCGGAGCUUAACUCCGAAACUGCAUUCGAUACUGCCGUGCUCGAGGACUGGAGAGGAGACUGGAAUUUACGGUGUAGCGGUGAAAUGCGUAGAUAUCGUAAGGAAGACCAGUGGCGAAGGCGGGUCUCUGGACAGUUCCUGACGCUGAGGCACGAAGGUCAGGGGAGCAAACGGGAUUAGAUACCCUAGUAGUCC